UUUAGAUUCACAUUAAAUCAUUAAAAAUCAUGUUAAUUAACGUGAUUUUGAGAAAAUAUCAUGUUAAUCAUAGAGGGAUUGAUUUUAAAUUUAAAUUUGAUUUUGGAUUAAAGUAAUUUUAAGUAUCUUUGGCAUUAGACCAUCUAUUUAUCCUAUAACGGCGUGUACAGAAGGCUUUCAUGAGUUUGUGUUCAAACUCCAAGAGAAUAUCAGCCAGCACCAGCAGGAUUUUUGCAAUAGUGACUAUGCUUCUGCGGAGCACCAUGAAAGAGUACUCAAAAUGCUAAAUUAUGGGAGGUUAAAUCUUUCUUCUUUGCCAAUCAAGUGGUACACCAUGCCAAAGAAGUUCUGCAUAACUGGUUGAAUUAAUGCAUUUGGACCAUCACAUCAUGUGCAGGCCACCACCAACUGUUGUUCUAAAAUGCAAUCUCGAUAACCAGGAAUUGAGUUUUGAAAUUGCAUGUCAUAUUUUUUUUUUAUCUUUUUUUAUUGACAAAUAUUAUUUUUUAAUUUGUUAAUUUUUUUGUUAGCAGGAAAAUUUGAACUUGCAAUCUAUCCCUCCCUCCCUCUUUUCACCAAGUCAAUUUUAUAUCUUCUUGGAGCAGGCAUGUGUGUGAGGGAUGGUAAUUGAAGGAAACUUUCUCUCAGCCUGUGUUGAUUAGUUGGAAACUGUUUGUAAUUUAAGCAUGAGCGUGACCCUUCAAUGCUUCAGCAAGUGCUUUCCUUGUUCUGACAAGUUCAGCCUCAAUCAUACGAACAUAUGUGCGGGAGGGGGGGAGGAUCAUACACUUGAACAACCAUGGAAGCGGGUUCAAUUUCAACAUCAAAUUCUACUUCUUCAAUGAUAGGAUCCACAUGAUGAGUGAAGAAGAAUAUGAAGAAAGGCAAGAACACCAUAAAGGAAAAGGGUUGAAGUAUACACAGUCAGCAUGUUGCGGAAUUAGAUAUCUGAAUGGGCAAGGUGGAUGCAUAAAAGCCCAAAACGCCAAUCUUUCCGCAAAUCGCAAUGAGUUUCUGUUUUGGGAUUGGUUUCAUCCUACUGAGAUAGCUUCGUUAUUGGCAGCUAAGACACUAUUUGAAGGAGGCAAAGAGUUUGUAACUCCAGUGAAUUUUCGUCAGCUAGCUUAUUCCUAUUGAUUUCUAAGCAAUAAGUAACCAAUUACUAUAAUUUGAAGUGAAAUAACGUAGCUGGCAUCUCUCAGUGCCGGUUUUAUGUUCUCUCUUGAUUUUUGAGAAAAAUUU